UACGGAGGGUGCGAGCGUUGUCCGGAAUCACUGGGCGUAAAGGGCGCGUAGGCGGCUCGUUAAGUGGCUGGUGAAAUCCCGGGGCUCAACUCCGGGGCUGCCGGUCAUACUGGCGAGCUGGAGCACGGUAGAGGCGGAUGGAAUUCCCGGUGUAGCGGUGGAAUGCGUAGAUAUCUGGAGGAACACCGGUGGCGAAGGCGGCAUCCUGGACCGACACUGACGCUGAGGAGCGAAAGCCAGGGGAGCAAACGGGG
rnacentral:rRNA from 1 species